rnacentral:rRNA from 1 species
CGUGUAGGCGGUUUAAUAAGUCAGAUGUAAAAGCCCCCGGCUCAACCGGGGAUGGUCAUUUGAAACUGUUAGGCUUGAGUGCGAGAGAGGGUAGUGGAAUUCCCAGUGUAGCGGUGAAAUGCGUAGAUAUUGGGAAGAACACCAGUAGCGAAGGCGGCUACCUGGCUCGCAACUGACGCUGAGGCGCGAAAGCGUGGGGAGCAAACA